GCGUGCGGAGCUACCAUGCAGUCGAGCGGAACGAUGGAAGCUUGCUUCCAGGCGUCGAGCGGCGGACGGGUGAGUAAUGCAUAGGAAUCUGCCCGAUAGUGGGGGAUAACCUGGGGAAACCCAGGCUAAUACCGCAUACGUCCUACGGGAGAAAGCAGGGGAUCUUCGGACCUUGCGCUAUCGGAUGAGCCUAUGUCGGAUUAGCUAGUUGGUGAGGUAACGGCUCACCAAGGCCGCGAUCCGUAGCUGGUCUGAGAGGAUGAUCAGCCACAUCGGGACUGAGACACGGCCCGAACUCCUACGGGAGGCAGCAGUGGGGAAUAUUGGACAAUGGGCGAAAGCCUGAUCCAGCCAUGCCGCGUGUGUGAAGAAGGCUUUCGGGUUGUAAAGCACUUUCAGUGGGGAAGAAAUCCUCGGGGCCAAUACCCUCGAGGGAGGACAUCACCCACAGAAGAAGCACCGGCUAACUCCGUGCCAGCAGCCGCGGUAAUACGGAGGGUGCGAGCGUUAAUCGGAAUUACUGGGCGUAAAGCGCGCGUAGGCGGCGUGAUAAGCCGGUUGUGAAAGCCCCGGGCUCAACCUGGGAACGGCAUCCGGAACUGUCAGGCUAGAGUGCAGGAGAGGAAGGUAGAAUUCCCGGUGUAGCGGUGAAAUGCGUAGAGAUCGGGAGGAAUACCAGUGGCGAAGGCGGCCUUCUGGACUGACACUGACGCUGAGGUGCGAAAGCGUGGGUAGCAAACAGGAUUAGAUACCCUGGUAGUCCACGCCGUAAACGAUGUCGACUAGCCGUUGGGGUCCUUGUGACCUUUGUGGCGCAGUUAACGCGAUAAGUCGACCGCCUGGGGAGUACGGCCGCAAGGUUAAAACUCAAAUGAAUUGACGGGGGCCCGCACAAGCGGUGGAGCAUGUGGUUUAAUUCGAUGCAACGCGAAGAACCUUACCUACUCUUGACAUCGUGCGAACUUUCCAGAGAUGGAUUGGUGCCUUCGGGAACGCACAGACAGGUGCUGCAUGGCCGUCGUCAGCUCGUGUUGUGAAAUGUUGGGUUAAGUCCCGUAACGAGCGCAACCCUUGUCCCUAUUUGCCAGCGAUUCGGUCGGGAACUCUAGGGAGACUGCCGGUGACAAACCGGAGGAAGGUGGGGACGACGUCAGGUCAUCAUGGCCCUUACGAGUAGGGCUACACACGUGCUACAAUGGCCGGUACAAAGGGUUGCGAAGCCGCGAGGUGGAGCUAAUCCCGAAAAGCCGGUCUCAGUCCGGAUCGGAGUCUGCAACUCGACUCCGUGAAGUCGGAAUCGCUAGUAAUCGUGAAUCAGAAUGUCACGGUGAAUACGUUCCCGGGCCUUGUACACACCGCCCGUCACACCAUGGGAGUGGACUGCACCAGAAGUGGUUAGCCUAACUUCGGAGGGCGAUCACCACGGUGUGUUGU
rnacentral:rRNA from 1 species